ACCACCCUCCUCCUCUCUCCGCGCAAACUGGGGGUUCCCCCCUCCUCCCCUUCCCCGCCAGCCCGGCGCCGCUGCAUCCGAAGGGACGCUAGGCGGGCCAGGGCGAGGAGGUGCGGUCCAGCGCGGGACUGGAGAUGGCACCCCCGCCGCUCCUCCGGAUCGUCGCGGCAGCGCGGGGGCUUCUUCUUUCCGGAGCCUGCCUACAGCUGCAGUGAAGACGACAGCGGCAGCACACGGCCAAAUAUUUGGGAUGGUCUGCACGGGACCGCUCACCGCUGCAGCGCACGGUAUAAACACUGCAAAGAUGACUUGCUGCACUUUUCAUCAAGCAAAAGGACAAAUGAACGUGAUGAUUUUAUGAUCAGAAGCAGUUCCAAGAAACCCCAUUCUUGUGCAUACACACAGUGACCACCUUGAGGAAUACAAUGUGUAUGUCCACAGGUUCACCUACAAUGAAGGCCCAUGAAUGCUUCUUGCCAAACAUGACCUCCUCCCUCACCAAAGUCAAGGGCAGAGAGCACAGAGCAUGCUGGGCACAGUGGCCUGCCACUGCCCUUACUCCUGCAGAUCACUUCCAAGAAUGAAAAGAUACAAAGACAAAUCAAGUGAAAACAAGAAAAAUUGCAUAUUCUCCCCAGGACUGCCGCACUGCCUUCCUGGUCUGCCAAGACUUGGAAGCUGUCUUGACCUAAUGGAAAUAAGCGUGUUUUUCAGUAUAAGGACACACUGCAUUUAGCAAAUGCCAUCCCAGCUCACUUUGGACUGUUCCUUGCAUCCUGCUGUGCAUCAGCUGGCAGGUAAACAGCAAAGAUCAGUUCACCCUGUACAGUAAAUGAAUUAAUGUGCUUCCGAAAAAGUGCAGUGAGCAUAAUGUGAAUUAUGCUGGUGGUCAGAGAAAGCAUUUCUCCCCAAAAUGGACCCAAUUGACUCCCUCCUGAUGCAAGCUGCUAGGAGCAGGGAGCAAUUUAAUCAGCUUUCAGACCUGGUCACCCCAGCAGAUACUGUACCAUACCUACAAACCACAGUGACACAGCAGGUGACUUUAGCUGCUUCUUGCAGCAACUGCAAGAACAAUCUGUGACCGCACUCCAGAAGGAUGGAGCAGCUACAGGGAAUAAUCAUCUUCAGAUGUACCAGUCAGUCCUCGCACUCUGGCUCCCUCUUCACCUUAUCGCCACUUCCAAAAAUAGCUUGCAGAUUGUACAGAAAGGACGUGGACGAGGAGAUACUGUUCCUGGAACUCUGAAUUUCUACUUUAGCUGUCCUUGAGCCCUCCCCAAAAUAUUAGGCUUAUGCCAACUAUUUAUCCAGUGAGUGCAGCACACUCCAGCCAGUUGGAUAUUAGAGCUAUGAGCACAGAUAUUUGCUGCUUUAGCAGUCUAUUUCCCCACCAGCGAGUGUCUACACCUCUUCCUCAGCAUAGAUGGAAUAGCACAUCAUGGAUAGAGGAGAUAUGCUUUGCCAUAUCCCAGGCAUCAGAUGCUGGCAGAUAACCACUGCAGGACUCAGUUGUGGUACAUUGCUCAGAAGAACACACACAGGAUCCUUAAACUGAAAGGCCAAGAUAGUUCCAAGUUUGUGUACGCUAGGCUGGGCAAGGAGAGGAAAAAAAAUAGAAGAAAGAAACCACUCCUACCUUUUUCUUUUGAAAGAAUUAUGAUAAGUAAUGUAAUUCUCAUGUCUCAAUGAAAAACGUAUUUGCAAGUCAAGUUUGAAAGGAAAGUUUUUCUCCAGGGUGAUGUUACUUUUUUUCUCCCCCUUUGCCUUAAUAUGGCUCUAAAUAUCCAGUGGGGAUGCAGCUGGGUUCAAGGGCUGCAACAGAUGCCAGGUCUUACAUCACCGUUGCUGUCUCCCAGCUUGUUACUGGGUUAUCUAUUGUCAGAUGGGAAUUUAUUGAAGGUGACAUUGCUUACAAAUUGAUCAAAAUCAGCUUCAGUGAGGUGUCCUUCCAACAUAUAAAAAGAUGGAUAAAAUUCACUCAGUUGAUCAUUAAUAACUUCAGUCUGUGGAAUUGGUUAUCUCCCUUUGACAGAGGAAAUAGAGUUUGCAGAUUGAACAGUUUUAAUCCUAUCUGAGAAUAAUUAUGACAGCCCUUCAAAGAUACACCCAGUUACUAUGUCUGUACCUUUUCAAUAAAACUAAUUCAAGCAAAACCCUAGAUUUAUUUUACUGAACACCUGUGCAUACAAAACAGAGGUCACUAAACAGAAGAAGAAACAGUGAUAACGCUGUCAACUCAUCUAUCACAGAUAUUUUUUCUACUGGCCACAGGACUAGUUAUGUGGGAAUACUGUCCCAAGGGUAAAGCUCUGUGUUUUUGAAAACCUGCAUAGUGGAACAAGCAGAAGCCAUCAGAUCUGGGAGAGGUGGGUGUUUACUCUCAUGUGCUCUCACUGUCCAGCAUCAGGUGCAGUCCAGUGCAGGUGCUGUGAAUCCCAUGCACUGCCAGCGUGGGCUUUGGGUGAGCCCUGUCCAUGUGUUGGUUGGGAUAACCUGAUCCCUGUCACAGCAAUGGUCUCUGCUUCCAUGUCAGCCAUGUAGUGAGACCUCAGGAAAUGUCUGAGGGAAACCAGCCCUGAAACAACAAGCAAAUUUCCACACUCCUUCGAUGCCAGAUGGCAGAAGAGGAUGUGUCCAUGGAAACCCGGAUGGAUUAGGCGUACUUUCAAACUUCUCAGCACUGAAGUAGGCCACUGCAAUGUUCCUUUCUCCAAGGCCACUUUGACCCACACAUCAAGAGCUAUCUCCCUCUGCUGUCCCCACUUCAUGGGCAGGGAGCCAUAUAGCCAAACUCGAGGAGCUGGGCUGAGACGCUGCUUCCCCUAGACCUUUCCAUCCUCAUGGGCACACUGGUCUGGCUGGUUUCUUCAUCUCGAGCCUGUAGUACCUGUGAUAUGCUGAUUUUGCUUAGUGCACUGCAAGGUGCUCCUUUCCACGGUUGUGUGGGGAAUAAAUAAAUUUCUUUGCA